UACAGAGGUCCCAAGCGUUGUUCGGAUUUACUGGGCGUAAAGGGUGCGUAGGUGGCGAGGUAAGUUCGAUGUGAAAUCUCCGAGCUCAACUCGGAAAUGGCAUUGAAUACUAUCCCGCUUGAGGGUCGGAGGGGAGACUGGAAUUCUCGGUGUAGCAGUGAAAUGCGUAGAUAUCGAGAGGAACACCAGUGGCGAAGGCGACUACCUGGACCAGCACUGACACUGAGGCACGAAAGCGUGGGGAGCAAACAGG
rnacentral:rRNA from 1 species